rnacentral:rRNA from 1 species
UACGGGGGGGGCAAGCGUUGUUCGGAAUUACUGGGCGUAAAGAGCUCGUAGGUGGUUUGUCGCGUUGUUCGUGAAAACCGGGGGCUUAACCCUCGGCGUGCGGGCGAUACGGGCAGACUGGAGUACUGCAGGGGAGACUGGAAUUCCUGGUGUAGCGGUGGAAUGCGCAGAUAUCAGGAGGAACACCGGUGGCGAAGGCGGGUCUCUGGGCAGUAACUGACGCUGAGGAGCGAAAGCGUGGGGAGCGAACAGG